AUUGAACGCUGGCGGCAGGCUUAACACAUGCAAGUCGAGCGGGGUGAUGGUGCUUGCACUAUCACUUAGCGGCGGACGGGUGAGUAAUGCUUAGGAAUCUGCCUAUUAGUGGGGGACAACAUCUCGAAAGGGAUGCUAAUACCGCAUACGUCCUACGGGAGAAAGCAGGGGAUCACUUGUGACCUUGCGCUAAUAGAUGAGCCUAAGUCGGAUUAGCUAGUUGGUGGGGUAAAGGCCUACCAAGGCGACGAUCUGUAGCGGGUCUGAGAGGAUGAGCCGCCACACUGGGACUGAGACACGGCCCAGACUCCUACGGGAGGCAGCAGUGGGGAAUCUUGCGCAAGGCGCGAAAGCGUGACGCAGCAACGCCGCGUGGGGGAAGAAGGCCUUCGGGUUGUAAACCCCUUUCAGUUGGGACGAAGCUCCGCCGGUGAACAGCCGGCUAGAGUGACGGUACCUUCACAAGAAGCCCCGGCUAACUACGUGCCAGCCGCCCGCCGUAAUAC
rnacentral:rRNA from 1 species